rnacentral:rRNA from 1 species
GACGAACGCUGGCGGCGUGCUUAACACAUGCAAGUCGAACGGAAAGGCCCUGCUUUUGUGGGGUGCUCGAGUGGCGAACGGGUGAGUAACACGUGAGUAACCUGCCCUUGACUUUGGGAUAACUUCAGGAAACUGGGGCUAAUACCGGAUAGGAGCUCCUGCUGCAUGGUGGGGGUUGGAAAGUUUCGGCGGUUGGGGAUGGACUCGCGGCUUAUCAGCUUGUUGGUGGGGUAGUGGCUUACCAAGGCUUUGACGGGUAGCCGGCCUGAGAGGGUGACCGGCGACAUUGGGACUGAGAGACGGCACAGACUCAUACGGGAGGCAGCAGUGGGGAAUAUUGCACAAUGGGCGGAAGCCUGAUGCAGCAACGCCGCGUGCGGGAUGACGGCCUUCGGGUUGUAAACCGCUUUCGCCUGUGACGAAGCGUGAGUGACGGUAAUGGGUAAAGAAGCACCGGCUAACUACGUG